UUUAGAAUUAUUCUGCUGAGUUUGGAAUUAUGAAAAAUAUUGGCUCAGUUCUUUUCCAAGCUUUUUCAACCCUUGGUCUUUCCUUUGGACUCAACUCGUUCUUAAAGUAUCUCCUGAACCAGUCGGCCGACAACCAUAUUUUUAAAUUUCU